rnacentral:rRNA from 1 species
CAAGGGUUCCUGCGCAACGUUAAUCGACGCAGGGUUAGUCGGUUCCUAAGGCGAGGCUGAAAAGCGUAGUCGAUGGGAAACAGGUUAAUAUUCCUGUACUUCUGGUUACUGCGAUGGAGGGACGGAGAAGGCUAGGCCAGCUUGGCGUUGGUUGUCCAAGUUUAAGGUGGUAGGCUGAAAUCUUAGGUAAAUCCGGGGUUUCUAGGCCGAGAGCUGAUGACGAGUCGUCUUUUAGAUGACGAAGUGGUUGAUGCCAUGCUUCCAAGAAAAGCUUCUAAGCUUCAGGUAACCAGGAACCGUACCCCAAACCGACACAGGUGGUCGGGUAGAGAAUACCAAGGCGCUUGAGAGAACUCGGGUGAAGGAACUAGGCAAAAUGGCACCGUAACUUCGGGAGAAGGUGCGCCGGCUAGGGUGAAGGAUUUACUCCGUAAGCUCUGGCUGGUCGAAGAUACCAGGCCGCUGCGACUGUUUAUUAAAAACACAGCACUCUGCAAACACGAAAGUGGACGUAUAGGGUGUGACGCCUGCCCGGUGCCGGAAGGUUAAUUGAUGGGGUUAGCGCAAGCGAAGCUCUUGAUCGAAGCCCCGGUAAACGGCGGCCGUAACAAUAACGGUCCUAAGGUAGCGAAAUUCCUUGUCGGGUAAGUUCCGACCUGCACGAAUGGCGUAACGAUGGCGGCGCUGUCCCCACCCGAGACUCAGUGAAAUUGAAAUCGCUGUGAAGAUGCAGUGUAUCCGCGGCUAGACGGAAAGACCCCGUGAACCUUUACUGUAGCUUUGCACUGGACUUUGAGCCUGCUUGUGUAGGAUAGGUGGGAGGCUUUGAAGCGUGGACGCUAGUUCGCGUGGAGCCAUCCUUGAAAUACCACCCUGGCAUGCUUGAGGUUCUAACUCUGGUCCGUAAUCCGGAUCGAGGACAGUGUAUGGUGGGCAGUUUGACUGGGGCGGUCUCCUCCUAAAGAGUAACGGAGGAGUACGAAGGUGCGCUCAGACCGGUCAGAAAUCGGUCGCAGAGUAUAAAGGCAAAAGCGCGCUUGACUGCGAGACAGACACGUCGAGCAGGUACGAAGGUAUGUCUUAGUGAUCCGGUGGUUCUGUAUGGAAGGGCCAUCGCUCAACGGAUAAAAGGUACUCCCGGGAUAACAGGCUGAUACCGCCCAAGAGUUCAUAUCGACGGCGGUGUUUGGCACCUCGAUGUCGGCUCAUCACAUCCUGGGGCUGAAGCCGGUCCCAAGGGUAUGGCUGUUCGCCAUUUAAAGUGGUACGCGAGCUGGGUUUAGAACGUCGUGAGACAGUUCGGUCCCUAUCUGCCGUGGACGUUUGAGAUUUGAGAGGGGCUGCUCCUAGUACGAGAGGACCGGAGUGGACGAACCUCUGGUGUUCCGGUUGUCACGCCAGUGGCAUUGCCGGGUAGCUAUGUUCGGAAAAGAUAACCGCUGAAAGCAUCUAAGCGGGAAACUUGCCUCAAGAUGAGAUCUCACUGGGAACUUGAUUCCCCUGAAGGGCCGUCGAAGACUACGACGUUGAUAGGCUGGGUGUGUAAGCGUUGUGAGGCGUUGAGCUAACCAGUACUAAUUGCCCGUGAGGCUUGACC